GAUGAAGAACGCAGCGAAAUGCGAUACGUAAUGUGAAUUGCAGAAUUCAGUGAAUCAUCGAAUCUUUGAACGCAUAUUGCGCUCUCUGGUAUUCCGGAGAGCAUGCUUGUUUGAGUAUCAGUAAACACCUCAACUUCCAUAUCUUUUUUGAAAUGGGAGUUGGACUUGAGUGAUCCCAACGCUUUUCCUCACCGAAAAGUGGCGGGUUACUUGAAAUGCAGGUGCAGCUGGACUUUUCUCUGAGCUAUAAGCAUAUCUAUUUAGUCUGCCUAAAAAACAGAUUAUUCCCUGUGCUGCCGCUAACAUAAAGGAGAUUAGUUCUUGUGCUGACUGAUGCAGGAUUCACAAAGACGGCUUCGGCCGACUUUGUAAACUCGAUCUCAAAUCAAGUAAGACUACCCGCUGAACUUAAGCAUAUCAAUAAGCGGAGGA
rnacentral:misc_RNA from 1 species